rnacentral:ncRNA from 1 species
CCCGAUAAAGGCAGACCUGUCGGGAGACAGGGGCGCAAAGCCGAGGGCCCGAAAAAGGGGCUGCUCGGCUGCCGAAG